rnacentral:tRNA from 4 species
UCCUCUGUAGUUCAGUCGGUAGAACGGCGGACUGUUAAUCCGUAUGUCACUGGUUCGAGUCCAGUCAGAGGAACCA